rnacentral:rRNA from 1 species
GAUGAACGCUAGCGGCAGGCCUAAUACAUGCAAGUCGAACGGUGUAGCAAUACACAGUGGCGCACGGGUGCGUAACACGUAUGCAACCUACCUUACAUUGGGGGAUAGCCUUUCGAAAGGGAGAUUAAUACCGCAUAAGACAGUAACUAGGCAUCUAGUAGCUGUUAAAGUUUUAUCGAUGUAAGCUGGGCAUGCGUCCAAUUAGUUAGUUGGCGAGGUAAUGGCUCACCAAGACGAUGAUUGGUAGGGGAACUGAGAGGUCAAUCCCCCACACUGGCACUGAGAUACGGGCCAGACUCCUACGGGAGGCAGCAGUAGGGAAUAUUGGGCAAUGGGCGCAAGCCUGACCCAGCCAUGCCGCGUGCAGGAAGACGGCCCUCUGGGUUGUAAACUGCUUUUGAAUGGGAAGAAUGUGAUGUUUGCGAGCAUUAAUGACGGUACCAUUAGAAUAAGCCACGGCUAACUACGUGCCAGCCGCCGCUGUAAUAC